UGGAACUUCCUUCCCUGCUGAGCAAAUUUACUCCUGUUAGAUGUGGGCAACAUGUCUUUUAUGAACACAGAUAAGCUCAUGAGGAUUUCUUUGUCAUGGAGGUCAUAAAAUAAGGAACUCCAAAAUCAAGCCUGCCAUGGCGAGAAGGAAGAGAGGCAGUAAGGGAAAUUCAUAAAUCUAACUGAAAAGCCCAAGAGGAUUUAUUCAAAAAAGCAUGAACAAUUACAGCACAGCACCCUCUUCCAAGGCACACUUGCCUCUGUGACAGCGCCAGUGACCACUCUUGUGCCGGGGAAUUCCGUGAUGCCAUUUUGACGUGGUCGUACAAAAAAAUUCAGGCCAGUGAUUUCCACACAGUUUCGUGUAUUUGGUUUUCUAAGGAAGGUUUUUGAAACAAAUAUCUUAUUUCCUUUUUAUGAACACUAAAAAUUCCUGAUACCUUUCAGGAAGGGUAGGGUUUAAUCCUGCUGCUCUUGGCUGAAAUUGCUCCUACAUGUUAUUAUCAACACUGUACUUAGAACAACAAAGCCCUGUCACUUCCACCCCAGAUGUGGCUACAUCAGGUAAGUGAUGGAGUGUUUUCCAAUUUCAGGCAACUUUGCAAGUACACAAAGGGAAAAGGUAUGUUCAGAAUGUAAACAAAGCAUAGGAGAUAACAACAAACACACAAUAAGGCAGGUAUGGCCUUGAAAAUUGGAAUGAGAAUUCCUCAAGGAACAACUAAUAGGUUUCAGGGAGGAUACAACAGGAAGUGAGGGCAACAACCCUUAAUCAAGAGCUUCUUCCAGAGCUAGGGAGUGUCAUGAUGCACAGAGAUGAUGGAUGAAGAAAGCAGAGGGUGUAGCUGAAGAAGGGAAGAGAUACUGUCAAUACUUACAGGAAAAAUGAGCUGAAGCUUAGCAGAAUUUUCAU